AACAUUGUUCUGACUGUGUGUCUGUGGAUACAUUAAAAGCGUUGAAGUCACACACUGAAAUGAGAUGAAUUACAUGGUGUGUGAAUUAGAGCUCAGAAACGCUGUUUAGAGACAAAAAAAGGAAGACUGAGGCUUGAGGCGGUGCGUGUCACUCCUGCCAGAAGCGUGACUGUGGAAGGCUGAGGGCAGUGUCUUAAGAGAGGAAGUCAAACCCAAAGUUGUUCUGGUAGAAGAGGCUUGAGAACGUGUCAGACCGGGAAGGAAGGAGCCGGGAAACGACGCCACAGAGAGGGGUGACAUCGGAAGCCUCAGAGCAGACGGAAAGUGAUUUGAGCCUGGAAGCCUGGAGCCCAAGAAGCUUCUGCAGCCAUCUAGUGACCAUGAGGUCCAGCACACCCGCCUGGAUGGAGCUGACUGAAAGAGCAGGGAGAAACUGGAUCCCGAAUCCUGAUCCUGUCAGUUGAGCUGCUGAAGAACUGUCUCUAGAUUUUUCAGAGUAAUUUUUUAUCUAUUGUUAAAGAUACUGAAAUUGACUUUUUGUUAUUAAAACAGAAAUAGAUCUGUUAUUUAACAAACAAAGCAUCAAAGCUGAUAAAACCCCAAUAUGCUAAAAAAAAAAAUGAGUAUCUUUAGAAGAUUUUCAUAUAC